rnacentral:misc_RNA from 1 species
CCCAGGCGAGCCCAGGCGCACCAAAGCGUCAGACACGCCUAGGCGUGCCCCAAGGAGCCCAGCCAUAAAAAACCCAGAAAUUGCUUUCUCUUUCCUUACCCACAUGCAGACAGCAACCACAAAACUAAGAAGAAGACGAAGAAGACCGCAUCCACAAAGCAAGCAGAAGAAGAAAAAAGGACAAAAGCCUUGAAGAAGAAGAAGAAGAAGUGGACAAAACUAUCGACGACCAAUUAUCAAUGAAGUAUCCAUAGGUGCAAAAGAAAUGCACAAACACAAUACAGUAUACAACAGUUCCUCAAAUUCUUCAAAAUCCGCGAAACAGAAUCGAUAUUUAAGGAAAUGGGUAAUUGCGAAUAAGAUAGAACUUUGAAGAACUCAAUUAAUAUUUGGGAUUUUUGAGCUUUGUAUUUGCAGUUUGCACCUUUCGCUGUUAAAGACGCAGAGCCAGAGAGCUAGAACGGUUGGUGGCUCCAUUUUCCGUUUGCUAAAUUUGGGUCGGGUUUAAU